CGCGGGGGUGUGCAGCGGGAGAACUCCGGCGCGGGCCGGGGGCGGGGCGCCUCCGCGUGGGCGGAGCCCGGGCGCCCCUCGAGGACGGCGGCCGUGGAGCGCGGGGAGCGGGGCGCCUGCCCGCCCCUCGGCCCGGCACCCCUCCCGCCCCGGGGCUCCUGCCCCUACCGCUCCCGCCGCCGCCGCCGCCUGGUCUUCCCCGAGGGCUCAGCGUCGGUCUCCGCAGUUUGGCUGGAAACGUGGGAAGGCGGGAGCCCAGGCGGAGAAAGACGCCCCGGGCCCGGACCUGCAGCUGGAGCCGCAGUCCAGCAGCGGGACGCUCGGCUCCGCGGCUUCAGAGUCCCCUUCUGGGUCUACCGGCCGCGGGGACUCUGCGCGCCCGCGCACGGGGAGGAGGUGCGGGCCCUGGCGCUGGAAGAUGGACGCAGCGCCCAGACAGGAAGCUCCUCGCGCUUCCUGGAGAGUUGGCUCCGCGGGGUGCGUCGCCGGGGAGGGAGGGACGGGCCGUGGGGCGACCAGCCGGGCGGGGAGUGGCUUCUGGGGGCCCCCUCGCCAGCGGCGGGCCCGCGAGGCCGCCCUCGGAGCGCCGCCAGGCAGGGCCCUGCGCAGGCCGAGCCGCGGGCCUCGGCGGGACACCAGGAAUGGAGCAGGCUCGUCUGCGCUACUCGCUGCAAAAUGACUGCGCUCCCGCAGGGCCUGCUCCGCGCCCGCGCCGACGACGAGGCCUCGCCCAGGGUGCCAGCAAGACCCACCGCGUCCCGGACCCACUGCGUUCUCCACCUGCAGCCCCUCGGGGGCCCAGACGGCGAGUGAGGCCCUGGGGAGUGGGCGUCAGCGCCCAGAACUUUCCAGGCCCAGCCAAACCCCCGCCUCUAAGCGGACCGACCCCAGAGCCCGCCCUCUCCGCCCGGCGGGUUGACGCUCCCUCCCCCAGCGGAGAAAGGCGCAGCCCGCUGGGCAAGUGGAGGACCGAGGUGGGGAUGGGGUCUUGAUGACCCUGCCCGAGCCUGGCCCGCCAGCGCCCGCGGCCCAUUCCCCUGUCACUUAUGAUUAAGGUCGGGCUCCAUUCUCCCGAUAGCGGCGUCCUCCUCUUCCUUUCUGCCCCCCGCCCCCAUUUAUUGGGUGGUUUGUUGAAGAUGGAUUUAGCAUUCCCCUCCCCGAGCAUCCGGGGCAGAAGGCAGCCCCGAGCGAGCGCGGGCCACCCCUCCCCAGUCGGUCUCCGGGCCGGCUGGCACGCGGAAGCCAGAGCCACUGCGACCGCCACGCCGGGCAGGGCUUCGGCCCGAGACCCCGGCCGCGACGUGGGGCCGAGGCUGGAGGGACCGCCGGGCGCUCCACUUGGCUCUCGCCGGGCCACGAACCCCGAAUCCCGCGCUGCGCAUCCGGCGGGCUGCGGGUGCGCGCCUUGAAUUAAAUCUUCGCAGCGCCUGACCUUGUUUUUUCCUCCGCCCGAUAGCAGCAGCAGCUGUUUUUUCCAGAAUUCCUGCUGCUGGGGGAGGGGCGUUAUUAUUAUUAUUUUUUGGUUGUCACAACCUCCUGGAGAAAUUCCCUGGCCUCGGAAAGUGUAACAAUAGCCCAGCUCCUUUCUGGAGGAAGCGCCCCCUCCUCUCCUUUCUCCAGGGACCCCUCUGCCCUCGGGCUGCUCCUGGGACCUCCUCCACUGUUCCAGCCCCAGCCCCCUCCUGGCCCUUCAGACCUGGCUCCCAAAUGCCUUGGGGUCCUGCUCCUGCCCCCCUCACUUCUGGGAGAGGUCACAGCUUUCUGAACCGGGGAGAAGUUAGUGGUCUCCUCCAGCAUGGUUGGGGGACGACUGGAGCCUUCCGGCCCCGCCCCCACCCCCAGCCCAUUCGGUGCUACGCCUCGCUGGGGUGUCCCUUCUCCAGGAAACCUAGCCGUGUUUGCUUUUGGGGUCAGCGCUAGCCUCGAGGUAGUUAAAGAUUAAUGGGCCUGGGCCCUGGAGGAUGGGAGGAGGGGGCCUGGGGACGGAGUCUGGCACAGGUGGUGUCUGUGGUCCCUCCCCUGCGGCCAGGCCCGGGCUGGCCUCUGCACUCACAGAUACUCCCCCCUCCAUCCAUAGGGCUGAAUAGUGGGUUCACCUAGGCAGCAGUUGCUGCUCACCUGUCCCGCCAGGGAGGAAAUUGGGGAGCUCUGGUUCCAGACGUGACCUGGCUUCCGGCUUGCCCCCUGCAGACUCCCAGUGCAUAGUGCGGAAAGAGGAGGGGACUUUGGCCGUCCUGGCCCCCUCCCCCAGUGCUGCAGCAAGCCUAGAAAAGUGGCCUUGCUGAGGAAGGGCCAGGGAAAGCCAGACUGGCUGGCUGGUCUUGCGGUGUGCAGGCUGGCCUGGGCCUCCUGGUAUCGGCCUCGCCGGGUCAGUCCCAUUCAGCUUCUCUGUCACUGGGGGUGGGGGGAGUGUACGUGGAGGGGCUGCCAGGGGCCCUUACACAGCCCUCUCUGCUGGGCCCUCCUUGGUCAAGAAGGGGAGAGGGGCAGGUCCCAGCCCCACCCACCGAGGCUUCUCUCCCCCGGACCCCCUGACCCAUCCACCACGUAGCCUCCAGGACCUUCCCCAGAAGCCCUGGUCCUGCCGUGAGUUGAUUUACCUUCGUCUCACCAGGUGCACGGCUUUGACACACGGCCUGCGAGGAGGACGGAAUGAACUUUAGUCUCCAGGCCUUCAAGGCGGUAGGGACUAUACUUCAUUAAUGGUUGUUAUGCAAUAAAAACGAUAAAAUGGUCCCUAUUUGCGAUUUAAAAAUGUAAUUUAUUUUAAUUUACAUUUCUAAGUACUUCUGGGGUUUGAUGGGGG
ensembl:lncRNA